GCUGGGGCCCCAGAUACUGGUACAGACGGCUGCCUGGUUGUACAUGUUGUUAGCUGUGAGGAGGAGUUCCAGCAACAGAAGUUGGACCUGCUUUGGCGGAAGUUGGUUGACAAGGCUCCACUCAGACAGAAGCACCUGAUCUGUGGCCCUGUGAAAGUAGCUGGUGCACCUGGCACUCUGAUGACUGCCCCUGAGUACUACAAGUUCCGACAUGCCCAGGUGUGCAAGGCCUCAGCACUGAAGCAUGGUGGGGAUCUGGCACAAGACCCAGCCUGGACAGAGAUCUUUGGUGUUCUCUCUGUGGCCACCAUCAAGUUUGAGAUGCUGAGCACAGCCCCACGGAGUCAGCUCUUCCUGGCUCUGGCUGACAGCAGUAUCUCCACGAAGGGCACAAAGAGUGGCACCUUUGUCAUGUAUAAUUGUGCCCGUCUUGCCACACUCUUUGAGAGUUACAAGUGUAGUAUGGAACAAGGUCUGUACCCCACUUUUCCUCCUGUGAGCAGUCUGGACUUCUCACUGCUACAUGAUGAGGUGAGUGUCCCUCCCGGUAGUUGGCACAAGGAGGCCUGGACUUCCCCUCCCAGUACCUUUCUCCCCCACAGGGUGAAUGGUUGUUGCUCUUCAACAGUAUCCUCCCCUUUCCGGAUCUGCUAAGCCAGACAGCAGUGCUGGACUGCACAGCCCCGGGGCUCCACAUUGCUGCACGCACAGAGAUGGUGAGGCAUAGACAACCAGGACACUCUACACUCUAUUCUUUAUUCUGGCCUGGGGCACAAGAGCAAAGAGAUGGGCCAGUGACUCAGUCUCUGUCUCUAGAUAUGCAAGUUCCUGGUACAGCUCAGCAUGGAUUUCAGCUCCUACUACAACCGGGUACACAUCCUGGGGGAGGCUCGACCACACCUCUUUGGUCAGAUGUUCGUCCGCCUGCAGCUUCUGAGGGCUGUGCGUGAGGUGCUCCAUACUGGCCUGGCUAUGCUGGGUCUCCCUCCACUGAGCCACAUCUAAGGCCACAGAGGCUCCAAUACUUGGGAAUGUUCACAAAGUCAUCAACUGGAAAAAAAGCAAAAACCCACGGCCAAAAUAAAUUGGUACUGUUAC
rnacentral:sRNA from 1 species